GUAUAAUGGAACUGCGCGGAUUCCUGAUCGGAGCUCUUUCACCGGCAGACAUGUCUGGCCGGCGAAGUCGUCUUUUCCAGAGGUACCCACUGGUCUUCGAUCGUGGUUGUUCUUUCCGAUGUUGUAUCAUCUCGGACUCCGACGAUUCCAAUCUAAAAUCAGUCAUCCUGCAAGUCAGAAUGUGAAAUGGAAAUGAAAACUAGCUCACUUUCUGUGUCAAGAAUUCUACACCUGUUCAGAAGAGGAGGUCCUUAUCAAAGUGUGAAUCUUUCAGAUUGGCUUGAAAAGUAAAGAGAAGAAAGAGAGAUAACCCCUUGGCAGGGCGAGAAAGCAAGAUUAAGGUCUCCAAGAAGAUAUCGGAAGAAAUCUUCGAGUUAAAGGCCUCUUCUCUGAAAGAUGUUGAGGUGCUUGAGAGUGUUGAAGAUGUCCUCAGCUUUUGUCUCAGAUUUUUCUCCUUGAACCUCUUCCAAAAACGUCUGCAAUUGAUCAAUGUUCAUUGUGCCAUGUUUUGAGUAUUUAUUGAACAUCAUCUUCACAUCUUCUGGUGCUUCUGCUGCAUUUGUCCUGAAUCUUCUACUGAAAAAGAAGCAGACCCUGAAACUGUGCUUACUCAUUCUUUACAAUGAUACAGAGCAGACACACGAAACCUGCACUUUGUGUGUGGUGUUUUCUUUUUUUUAUCCUUUGUCCUACUUGGAUCUGUGGAAGAAUGAGUGAAAAAGAGGGGGAGGGGGAGUUUCCAUUUCAAUCCCUAAAGAAUGACGUCCAGCCGAAGUUGGAAUCUGUGUCCAUGGCAAGAUGUUCUUUUCUUAGAGAGCAAAUGUGGUGGAACUGGCAAGAAGUUGCUUGUGAUUCCAAAUUUGACCAGCCUAGUUUGCAUUGCAGGAAUAGGCUGUUACUAGAAUUUAGGAUGUCUGAUAGAGCCAUCUAAACCCUAAAGAGUCUGCUUCUUUACAGCAAACUGUUACCUCAGCUAUUCAGUAUAGUGAUUCAAUCAACUGCAUCCAUUAGGAAGACAAGGUAUCAAUAAAAUACACGGUUUUGUUCAUGGAUCCAUUUAUUCUCCUGUCUCUGUUUUUCUUUACAGAAUUAAUCACUCUCCUUGAACAGAGAGAAUCUGCUUUAUAAUAGUACGGUGGCAUCAAAGCAGGAAAAGAGAAAAAGGAAA